rnacentral:misc_RNA from 1 species
AACGCAAAUUGCGCUUGAGGCUUCGGCCAAGAGCAUGUCUGGCUCAGCGUCGGCUUACUACCCUCAACCAAUUUCCCUUUGGGUUAUUGAUUGGAGCUGGCUUUCCGGUUUGCCGAAUAGGUUGCCGGUCAGCUGAAAAACAUUCACGCUGUGGAAGCUGCUUUCCCCUAAAAAGGAAAGCCGAGUUCCGAUUUGGUAGGUGACCUUUGCCGGUUGCAUGCCUUCGUUGCUCGCAAUAGCUUUCAUGAUUGCGUGUGCAGGACGCCCUUUGGCUUUCGACCUGAGCUCAGGCAAGAACACCCGCUGAACUUAA